rnacentral:lncRNA from 13 species
UCUUGAUGUCAGCUACUAAUACCUUGACACACGCACUCACACACACAGAGGCAGACACACACACACACUUCAAAAGAAUUUCAUCUCCAUCACUCAGCCCUAACAGCUUUGCUUUCAUCAGUGAGAUAAUGCUUGAUCAUGUCUGAUGUUAACAUACACACACAGAGAGAGAGAGAGACACACAUACACACACACAAGCUCUGACAAUGUCUGAUGUUCAGAGAGCAGCAUCUGUAGCUGCAGACAAAGUCUGUAUCCAAAAUGACACCCCCUUCCCUAUAAAGUGCAGUACUUUUCACUAGAGCCAUAUGAGCCCUGGUCAAAAGUAGUGCACUGUAUAGGGAAGGGGGUGCCACUUGAGACAUAGACAAGCUCAUUAAAGAGCUCCUUAUCAGCACCAACAAGCACUUUGAACUACAGGAUGUCUGGUGUCUUUUAAUCUUUCAACAGAUUGAUUAUGGUUCCUUCCUCUGUCGUUUCGUUCCAAUGCAUGCCAGAAUCGCUUAGAACUUCACAAACAUGGGUUGUGUCCUGAAUGGCACCGUAUUCCUUAAAUAGUUAACUCUAUGGGCUCCGGUCAAAAGUAGUGCAUUAUAUAGGGAAUAGGGUGCCAUUUGGGAUGGAAUCCUAAAACAGUCAGCCAUUUUAAUAGUCCUCUCUCUCUCUUUUCUCUACUUAUCGUCUUUUAACUAGUUUGUCAAUAACUGUAUCAAAUGAGUUUGCCUUAUUUCACAUUGUCAAACGUCUUCUUCAUGAUCUGUUUCUAACAGAUACUUGGGUGUAUCGCUUGCAGAUGAUUUGUAAUUUUGAGUAUUUACCUACUGUAACGUGAUGGCUGAAUUGUUUUGUUCUAUUGAUUCACUCUGUUACUCUCUGGGUUUCGGAAAAUUGAGCCAAAAGCAUUUCAUUUUGUUUUCCGAUGUUGUUAUCAAUUAUACAUUCACAAAUUAUUCAUUUUUAGUGGUUCCAUGCUAUACAGUACAUCCAAUGAAUAACAGUAAAGUACAGUACUAUGAAACUAUAAAUUACCAUAUGAAUUGGAGUACAGUACUAUUAAAUGAAAAUGAUGCCAGAUCAGUUGGCGUCUGAGACAUUAUGACUGAUGACAGGAUGACAUAAAGUGUAUAUUGGAAAGUCUACACAUUGUAGUUAUCAGAUUCACAUGUAAUUGUUGUGCAAUUGAAAUGUUUAAAUAUGAAACUAUUUGUGAAAAGAUUAAAUGUAAUUUUAGCUUCCAACUGAG